UUUAAGUAAAGUUGGGUAAGGGGUACUGAAUGUCCCGGGGUUACUAUUUUUACAUAAGAAUCCAAGAAAGCCCUGCAGACAGGAUAGUUGGGAUACUAUUUGAGGAAAACCCCAGAGGAGAAGGAAAAGUAACCUAUAGAGAGAAGCCUGGCGGCCAUCAUCUUAAUGAAGCAGCGAUGAUACAUAGGCUAAGUCUCCUCCAGGACAGAACAUCAGACAAACAAUAAUGGACGGCUUCUGUGCCACACAGUUACUGGCCUGGAUCCUUUGAAAAUGUCAAGGGCGUGAAAGUCAAAGAAAGACCGAGAAACCCUUCCAGAUUGCAGAGGAUUAAAGAGACAGGACAACUAAA